rnacentral:tRNA from 1 species
GCUCCCAUGGCGCUCGCCUUGCACGCGGGAGACCCGGGUUCGAUUCCCGGCGGGGUCA